UGGUGGGCGAGCUGAAUAUGCUCAGGCGCUUGAGAGAACUCAGGAGAAGGAACUCGGCAAAUUGACACCGUAACUUCGGGAUAAGGUGUGCCUUUGUAGCGUGGAGGGAGAAACACCCCGAGCGCGAAGAGGUCUCAGAUAAUCGGUGGCUGCGACUGUUUAUUAAAAACACAGCACUCUGCAAAGACGAAAGUCGACGUAUAGGGUGUGAUGCCUGCCCGGUGCUGGAAGAUUAAUUGAUGGGGUGCAAGCUCCUGAUCGAAGUCCCAGUAAACGGCGGCCGUAACUAUAACGGUCCUAAGGUAGCGAAAUUCCUUGUCGGGCAAGUUCCGACCUGCACGAAUGGCAUAACGAUGGCCACACUGUCUCCUCCUGAGACUCAGUGAAGUUGAAGUGUUUGUGAUGAUGCAAUCUCCCCGCGGCUAGACGGAAAGACCCCAUGAACCUUUACUGUAGCUUUGCAUUGGACUUUGAACCGAUCUGUGUAGGAUAGGCGGGAGCCUGUGAAACCACAACGCCAGUUGUGGCGGAGGCGUCCUUGAAAUACCGCCCUGAUUUGUUUGAGGUUCUAACCUGGGACAGUUAUCCUGUCCGGGGACCGUGCAUGGUAGGCAGUUUGACUGGGGCGGUCUCCUCCUAAAGGGUAACGGAGGAGUGCGAAGGUACGCUAGGUACGGUCGGAAAUCGUGCUGAUAGUGCAAUGGCAAAAGCGUGCUUGACUGCGAGACCCACAAGUCGAGCAGAUACGAAAGUAGGUCAUAGUGAUCCGGUGGCUCUGUAUGGAAGGGCCAUCGCUCAACGGAUAAAAGGUACUCUGGGGAUAACAGGCUGAUCUCGCCCAAGAGUUCAUAUCGACGGCGGUGUUUGGCACCUCGAUGUCGGCUCAUCUCAUCCUGGGGCUGUAGCCGGUCCCAAGGGUAUGGCUGUUCGCCAUUUAAAGAGGUACGUGAGCUGGGUUUAAAACGUCGUGAGACAGUUUUGUCCCUAUCUGCCGUGGGCGCUGGAAGAUUGACGGGGGCUGCUCCUAGUACGAGAGGACCGGAGUGGACUCACCUCUGGUGUACCGGUUGUCACGCCAGUGGCAUCGCCGGGUAGCUAUGUGGGGAAGAGAUAACCGCUGAAAGCAUCUAAGCGGGAAACUUGCCUGAAGAUAAGUCUUCCUGGAGGCUAGACCUCCCUAAAGAGUCGUUCGAGACCAGGACGUUGAUAGGAUGGGUGUGUAAGUGCUGUGAGGCACUCAGCUAACCAUUACUAAUUGCUCGUGAAGCUUGAUCCU
rnacentral:rRNA from 1 species